rnacentral:rRNA from 1 species
GCGGCGGACGGGUGAGUAACACGUGGGUAACCUACCCAUAAGACUGGGAUAACUCCGGGAAACCGGGGCUAAUACCGGAUAAUAUUUUGAACUGCAUAGUUCGAAAUUGAAAGGCGGCUUCGGCUGUCACUUAUGGAUGGACCCGCGUCGCAUUAGCUAGUUGGUGAGGUAACGGCUCACCAAGGCGACGAUGCGUAGCCGACCUGAGAGGGUGAUCGGCCACACUGGGACUGAGACACGGCCCAGACUCCUACGGGAGGCAGCAGUAGGGAAUCUUCCGCAAUGGACGAAAGUCUGACGGAGCAACGCCGCGUGAGUGAUGAAGGCUUUCGGGUCGUAAAACUCUGUUGUUAGGGAAGAACAAGUGCUAGUUGAAUAAGCUGGCACCUUGACGGUACCUAACCAGAAAGCCACGGCUAACUACGUGCCAGCAGCCGCGGUAAUACGUAGGUGGCAAGCGUUAUCCGGAAUUAUUGGGCGUAAAGCGCGCGCAGGUGGUUUCUUAAGUCUGAUGUGAAAGCCCACGGCUCAACCGUGGAGGGUCAUUGGAAACUGGGAGACUUGAGUGCAGAAGAGGAAAGUGGAAUUCCAUGUGUAGCGGUGAAAUGCGUAGAGAUAUGGAGG